ensembl:lncRNA
AAAUAUACAAAAAAAUCAUUACCUUUUUGGGGCUUUUGUUUGUGUUAUUUUUUUGGUUUGCUUAUUUUGGGGGCUAUUUGGUUAUUGUUUUUUUAAUUGUCCAGACUAUGUCUUUGUUAUUUCUUUAAAUAUAUAUAUAGAUAUAAACAUAUAUCUAUAUAUCUAUAUCUAUCUAUAUAUAAUCAGGUGAUGUGAAAAGAUGAAAUUAAUAGACUAGUUUGCUUUAUUUUUUUUUUUUGGUUUUUCUCCUGAACUUCAGAAUUCUCAAAAAGCUAACACCAAUCUAUCAAAGAUGUUGCUUUGCUCACCUACAUUUUUAAAAGUAUGUGGUGCUUGUAGCUGGGGAAAAAAUUAGUGAUUUUAGCUCUUCACUUAGCUAUGGGAAAAUGGCCGGGAUGAAGCCCUGAAAUGUUUAAGAGUGAGAACCAUAAAAAUUCACUUUCUAUUCUGUCCACCUGAUUAAGAACAGCAUUCCACAGUUUCAGUCACCUCGCUUUGCUCUUCCAAUGAAAUUUACUAUAAUUUGGGGGUCUACUGUAUAGUUGGGACCGUUAUUGAACUAAUAUGGAGCAUUUUUGGUAUACCUUCUGUCUUAACCAUUUGGUUCUUUUGGUUUUAUUUAAAGGGGGAAAAAAAGCCAAAAUGUGAACAUUUGAGCCUGGAAUGCUCACAGUUAGGUUAGUUUCAUGGGAAAUGGAGUAACUAUUGUUUUUUUUAGCCAGAGUUCAUUCUUAGACAUGGGAUUGCAGAGCACUGGAUAGGGCACAUAUAUUCUCCUCAAUUUGAGAAUCCAUGUUUAGUCAUGGUGGAAUAAAAGUGUGAUAAUUUCUGUCUCCCUACACUUUCCCCUAUGCACAUGACCACCAGCCUGUUCUAAGAAAUAAAAGCAGUUCAUCUGGGGCUAACAGUUAAUGCCCAAUGAGUUUCUGUUGCUGUUUUGACAUCCGUUUGAUUGGCUACUUAUGAUCUCAAUGGGAUAAAGCAGGCUGGUUAAAAUGCCAAUAAAAAAAAGUGGGCUGGUAAAUUGUAAUUCUUUGCAAGGCUGGCUGAACUGGAAUAAUUUUAUUCACUGGUGGAUCAAAGGAAUGGAAGUAAAUUGAUUUGAAAGGAAUUCUGUCAGACCAAGGGCUCUCAGAGUUCUUGGAACCCAAGCAGGGAAGGUAUGAAGAAAGUGUACAUUCUGAGGAGCAACCCUUCAGGAAACUGCCCCAGCCAAACACUUGCAUUGCUGUUUUUAGAUGAUAGAAAAUGACCAACUUUUCACAUCACCAUUCAGUUUCAAUUUCUAGCUCAAAGCUUUCUGGAGUCUUUUGGUUUUCAUAAGCCUCCCUCCCCUUUAUUAUUAAAAUAAAUGAAAUAACCCUCCCUUUCUCUCUUGCUACUCCUUUUAUUGCCUUUCCCUUAUAAAAGUUUUCAAGUUGUUUUGAAAUGCAUUCUUUUGGUUGUUGGUUUUGUUCCCCCCAACCCCAUCCCCACGCCUCCUUUUCUUAUAAUUCAGAGUAUGAAACCUGCAAAGCUCAGCUUGGUUUUGAUUUUGAAAGUUUAAGCUUUUUCUGCUUCUGUGAGAGCACAGGCCUCUGUCUUUUUGAUUCCAACUGAAACUUUUUGUGUUCUCUAAUGAUACUAACAAG